rnacentral:rRNA from 1 species
UUUGAAACUUGGUCCACUCCUUACGGGGGAGACAGUCAUGAGACGUGAGUAUAAGACCUGAGUGUAAAGACCUUAGGGUGAAGCAAUUGGAGGGCAAGCUUUGGUGCCAGCAGCCGCGGUAACUCCAACUCCAAGAGUGUCUAUGGUGGAUGCUGCAGUUAAAGGGUCCGUAGUCGUGAAUGCAAUUAAAUGUCGUUGUUCAAUAGCGAUGAGUUUGCUAAUGUUUGCGGAACGGAUAGGGAGUGUAGUAUAGACUGGCGAAGAAUGAAAUCUCAAGACCCAGUUUGGACUAACGGAGGCGAAGGCGACACUCUUAGACGUAUCUUAGGAUCAAGGACGAAGGCAGGAGUAUCGAAAGUGAUUAGACACCGCUGUAGUUCCUGCAGUAAACUAUGCCGACAGCCUGUGUGUGAGAAUACGUGGGCGGGAGAAAUCUUAGUGUUCGGGCUCUGGGGAUAGUACGCUCGCAAGGGUGAAACUUAAAGCGAAAUUGACGGAAGGACACUACCAGGAGUGGAUUGUGCUGCUUAAUUUAACUCAACGCGGGAAAACUUACCAGGGUCAAGUCAUUCGUUGAUCGAAUACGUGAGAAUGGCAGG